rnacentral:rRNA from 1 species
ACUCAAAUGAAUUGACGGGGACCCGCACAAGCAGCGGAGCAUGUGGUUUAAUUCGACGCAACGCGAAGAACCUUACCAAGGCUUGACAUCGUAUGACAACCGCAGAAAUGCGGCUUUCCGUAGCAAUACGGACAUAUAGACAGGUGGUGCAUGGUUGUCGUCAGCUCGUGUCGUGAGAUGUUAGGUUAAGUCCUGCAACGAGCGCAACCCUUAUGAACAGUUGCCAAUAUUAAGUUAGGAACUCUGUUCAGACUGCCGUGGAUAACACGGAGGAAGGUGGGGAUGACGUCAAAUCAUCACGCCCCUUACGUCUUGGGCAACACACGUGCUACAAUGGUUACUACAAAGAGCUGCAAAACCGUAAGGCGUAGCGAAUCUCAAAAAAGUAAUCUCAGUUCAGAUUGAGGGCUGCAACCCGCCCUCAUGAAGCAGGAGUUGCUAGUAAUCCCAAAUCAGAAUGUUGGGGUGAAUGCGUUCCCGGGUCUUGUACACACCGCCCGU